UACGAAGGGGGCAAGCGUUGUUCGGAAUUACUGGGCGUAAAGGGCGCGUAGGCGGCUUUGUAAGUCGGGGGUGAAAGCCUGUGGCUCAACCACAGAAUUGCCUUCGAUACUGCAUGGCUUGAGACCGGAAGAGGUUAGUGGAACUGCGAGUGUAGAGGUGAAAUUCGUAGAUAUUCGCAAGAACACCAGUGGCGAAGGCGGCUGACUGGUCCGGAUCUGACGCUGAGGCGCGAAAGCGUGGGGAGCAAACAGG
rnacentral:rRNA from 1 species